GACGAACGCUGGCGGCGUGCUUAACACAUGCAAGUCGAACGGAAAGGCCCUGCUUUUGUGGGGUGCUCGAGUGGCGAACGGGUGAGUAACACGUGAGUAACCUGCCCUUGACUUUGGGAUAACUUCAGGAAACUGGGGCUAAUACCGGAUAGGAGCUCCUGCUGCAUGGUGGGGGUUGGAAAGUUUCGGCGGUUGGGGAUGGACUCGCGGCUUAUCAGCUUGUUGUUGGGGUAGUGGCUUACCAAGGCCUUGACGGGUAGCCGGCCUGAGAGGGUGACCGGCCACAUUGGGACUGAGAUACGGCCCAGACUCCUACGGGAGGCAGCAGUGGGGAAUAUUGCACAAUGGGCGGAAGCCUGAUGCAGCAACGCCGCGUGCGGGAUGACGGCCUUCGGGUUGUAAACCGCUUUCGCCUGUGACGAAGCGUGAGUGACGGUAAUGGGUAAAGAAGCACCGGCUAACUACGUG
rnacentral:rRNA from 1 species